AAAUUGAAGAGUUUGAUCAUGGCUCAGAUUGAACGCUGGCGGCAGGCCUAACACAUGCAAGUCGAGCGGAAACGAGUUAACUGAACCUUCGGGGAACGUUAACGGCGUCGAGCGGCGGACGGGUGAGUAAUGCCUAGGAAAUUGCCCUGAUGUGGGGGAUAACCAUUGGAAACGAUGGCUAAUACCGCAUAAUGCCUUCGGGCCAAAGAGGGGGACCUUCGGGCCUCUCGCGUCAGGAUAUGCCUAGGUGGGAUUAGCUAGUUGGUGAGGUAAGGGCUCACCAAGGCGACGAUCCCUAGCUGGUCUGAGAGGAUGAUCAGCCACACUGGAACUGAGACACGGUCCAGACUCCUACGGGAGGCAGCAGUGGGGAAUAUUGCACAAUGGGCGCAAGCCUGAUGCAGCCAUGCCGCGUGUAUGAAGAAGGCCUUCGGGUUGUAAAGUACUUUCAGCAGUGAGGAAGGUGGUGUAGUUAAUAACUGCAUCAUUUGACGUUAGCUGCAGAAGAAGCACCGGCUAACUCCGUGCCAGCAGCCGCGGUAAUACGGAGGGUGCGAGCGUUAAUCGGAAUUACUGGGCGUAAAGCGCAUGCAGGUGGUUUGUUAAGUCAGAUGUGAAAGCCCGGGGCUCAACCUCGGAAUUGCAUUUGAAACUGGCAGACUAGAGUACUGUAGAGGGGGGUAGAAUUUCAGGUGUAGCGGUGAAAUGCGUAGAGAUCUGAAGGAAUACCGGUGGCGAAGGCGGCCCCCUGGACAGAUACUGACACUCAGAUGCGAAAGCGUGGGGAGCAAACAGGAUUAGAUACCCUGGUAGUCCACGCCGUAAACGAUGUCUACUUGGAGGUUGUGGCCUUGAGCCGUGGCUUUCGGAGCUAACGCGUUAAGUAGACCGCCUGGGGAGUACGGUCGCAAGAUUAUUAAAACUCAAAUGAAUUGACGGGGGCCCGCACAAGCGGUGGAGCAUGUGGUUUAAUUCGAUGCAACGCGAAGAACCUUACCUACUCUUGACAUCCAGAGAAGCCAGUAGAGAUACAGGUGUGCCUUCGGGAACUCUGAGACAGGUGCUGCAUGGCUGUCGUCAGCUCGUGUUGUGAAAUGUUGGGUUAAGUCCCGCAACGAGCGCAACCCUUAUCCUUGUUUGCCAGCGAGUAAUGUCGGGAACUCCAGGGAGACUGCCGGUGAUAAACCGGAGGAAGGUGGGGACGACGUCAAGUCAUCAUGGCCCUUACGAGUAGGGCUACACACGUGCUACAAUGGCGCAUACAGAGGGCAGCAAGCUAGCGAUAGUGAGCGAAUCCCAAAAAGUGCGUCGUAGUCCGGAUUGGAGUCUGCAACUCGACUCCAUGAAGUCGGAAUCGCUAGUAAUCGUGGAUCAGAAUGCCACGGUGAAUACGUUCCCGGGCCUUGUACACACCGCCCGUCACACCAUGGGAGUGGGCUGCAAAAGAAGUAGGUAGUUUAACCUUCGGGAGAACGCUUACCACUUUGUGGUUCAUGACUGGGGUGAAGUCGUAACAAGGUAGCCCUAGGGGAACCUGGGGCUGGAUCACCUCCUUA
rnacentral:rRNA from 1 species